GGGUUGUGAGGUUAAGCGACUAAGCGUACACGGUGGAUGCCCUGGCAGUCAGAGGCGAUGAAGGACGUGCUAAUCUGCGAUAAGCGCCGGUAAGGUGAUAUGAACCGUUAUAACCGGCGAUUUCCGAAUGGGGAAACCCAGUGUGACUCGUCACACUAUCAUUAACUGAAUCCAUAGGUUAAUGAGGCGAACCGGGGGAACUGAAACAUCUAAGUACCCCGAGGAAAAGAAAUCAACCGAGAUUCCCCCAGUAGCGGCGAGCGAACGGGGAGGAGCCCAGAGCCUGAAUCAGCAUGUGUGUUAGUGGAAGCGUCUGGAAAGGCGCGCGAUACAGGGUGACAGCCCCGUACACAAAAGCGCAUGUGCUGUGAGCUCGAUGAGUAGGGCGGGACACGUGGUAUCCUGUCUGAAUAUGGGGGGACCAUCCUCCAAGGCUAAAUACUCCUGACUGACCGAUAGUGAACCAGUACCGUGAGGGAAAGGCGAAAAGAACCCCGGCGAGGGGAGUGAAAAAGAACCUGAAACCGUGUACGUACAAGCAGUGGGAGCNNGUGACUGCGUACCUUUUGUAUAAUGGGUCAGCGACUUAUAUUCUGUAGCAAGGUUAACCGAAUAGGGGAGCCGCAGGGAAACCGAGUCUUAACCGGGCGUUAAGUUGCAGGGUAUAGACCCGAAACCCGGUGAUCUAGCCAUGGGCAGGUUGAAGGUUGGGUAACACUAACUGGAGGACCGAACCGACUAAUGUUGAAAAAUUAGCGGAUGACCUGUGGCUGGGGGUGAAAGGCCAAUCAAACCGGGAGAUAGCUGGUUCUCCCCGAAAGCUAUUUAGGUAGCGCCUCGUGAAUUCAUCUCCGGGGGUAGAGCACUGUUUCGGCUAGGGGGCCAUCCCGGCUUACCAACCCGAUGCAAACUGCGAAUACCGGAGAAUGUUAUCACGGGAGACACACGGCGGGUGCUAACGUCCGUCGUGAAGAGGGAAACAACCCAGACCGCCAGCUAAGGUCCCAAAGUCAUGGUUAAGUGGGAAACGAUGUGGGAAGGCCCAGACAGCCAGGAUGUUGGCUUAGAAGCAGCCAUCAUUUAAAGAAAGCGUAAUAGCUCACUGGUCGAGUCGGCCUGCGCGGAAGAUGUAACGGGGCUAAACCAUGCACCGAAGCUGCGGCAGCGANNUGCUGGAGGUAUCAGAAGUGCGAAUGCUGACAUAAGUAACGAUAAAGCGGGUGAAAAGCCCGCUCGCCGGAAGACCAAGGGUUCCUGUCCAACGUUAAUCGGGGCAGGGUGAGUCGACCCCUAAGGCGAGGCCGAAAGGCGUAGUCGAUGGGAAACGGGUUAAUAUUCCCGUACUUGGUGUUACUGCGAAGGGGGGACGGAGAAGGCUAUGUUGGCCGGGCGACGGUUGUCCCGGUUUAAGCGUGUAGGUGUGUGUUCCAGGUAAAUCCGGUUCACUUUAACACUGAGGCGUGACGACGAGGCACUACGGUGCUGAAGCAACAAAUGCCCUGCUUCCAGGAAAAGCCUCUAAGCAUCAGGUAACAUCAAAUCGUACCCCAAACCGACACAGGUGGUCAGGUAGAGAAUACCAAGGCGCUUGAGAGAACUCGGGUGAAGGAACUAGGCAAAAUGGUGCCGUAACUUCGGGAGAAGGCACGCUGACAUGUAGGUGAAGUGAUUUACUCAUGGAGCUGAAGUCAGUCGAAGAUACCAGCUGGCUGCAACUGUUUAUUAAAAACACAGCACUGUGCAAACACGAAAGUGGACGUAUACGGUGUGACGCCUGCCCGGUGCCGGAAGGUUAAUUGAUGGGGUCAGCGCAAGCGAAGCUCCUGAUCGAAGCCCCGGUAAACGGCGGCCGUAACUAUAACGGUCCUAAGGUAGCGAAAUUCCUUGUCGGGUAAGUUCCGACCUGCACGAAUGGCGUAAUGAUGGCCAGGCUGUCUCCACCCGAGACUCAGUGAAAUUGAACUCGCUGUGAAGAUGCAGUGUACCCGCGGCAAGACGGAAAGACCCCGUGAACCUUUACUAUAGCUUGACACUGAACAUUGAGCCUUGAUGUGUAGGAUAGGUGGGAGGCUUUGAAGUGUGGACGCCAGUCUGCAUGGAGCCGACCUUGAAAUACCACCCUUUAAUGUUUGAUGUUCUAACGUGGACCCGUUAUCCGGGUUGCGGACAGUGUCUGGUGGGUAGUUUGACUGGGGCGGUCUCCUCCUAAAGAGUAACGGAGGAGCACGAAGGUUGGCUAAUCCUGGUCGGACAUCAGGAGGUUAGUGCAAUGGCAUAAGCCAGCUUGACUGCGAGCGUGACGGCGCGAGCAGGUGCGAAAGCAGGUCAUAGUGAUCCGGUGGUUCUGAAUGGAAGGGCCAUCGCUCAACGGAUAAAAGGUACUCCGGGGAUAACAGGCUGAUACCGCCCAAGAGUUCAUAUCGACGGCGGUGUUUGGCACCUCGAUGUCGGCUCAUCACAUCCUGGGGCUGAAGUAGGUCCCAAGGGUAUGGCUGUUCGCCAUUUAAAGUGGUACGCGAGCUGGGUUUAGAACGUCGUGAGACAGUUCGGUCCCUAUCUGCCGUGGGCGCUGGAGAACUGAGGGGGGCUGCUCCUAGUACGAGAGGACCGGAGUGGACGCAUCACUGGUGUUCGGGUUGUCAUGCCAAUGGCACUGCCCGGUAGCUAAAUGCGGAAGAGAUAAGUGCUGAAAGCAUCUAAGCACGAAACUUGCCCCGAGAUGAGUUCUCCCUGAGACUU
rnacentral:rRNA from 1 species